rnacentral:rRNA from 1 species
GACGAACCGUCCGAACGUUAUUCGGUAUCACUGGGCUUAAAGAGUCCGUAGGCGGCCAUGUAGGUCAGAUGUGAAAUCCCACAGCUCAACUGUGGAACUGCGUUUGAAACCACAUGGUGCUUGGGGAAGAUAGAGGUGAGCGGAACAGAUGGUGGAGCGGUAGAAAUGCGUUGAUAUCAAUCCGUGGAA